rnacentral:sRNA from 1 species
UAGAACAAAUUUGGUUAGCACAAAAAAC